AAUCAUGCUAACUCUUGUAAACUUGUUUUACUUGUCUUUAAUGACAGACACAUUACAGGUUAUGCUCCGGAAGAUGGAGACAUUGGAGGAGAACCAGCGAGAGGCUCUCCUAUUCAGGCGACUACAGGGCAGACACACUGAAGAGGUGCCAGUGAUGGACCUACAGGUGUCCCAAACACAGGCUGAACUCCAAGACCUUGAGGAGCGCCUUAAGGUGCUGGAGUUGCGAAAGAGAGUGACGCUGUGAUGAAGUGGAAGACGGGACUGGGAGAGAAAGCUGUGGAGCUCCUCAUAGAGGAGACACUCAAACACACCCCGGCAGCCCAUUCAAAACAAGCCAGACAGGACCUGUAGCGGGGACUGGCAGAAG